rnacentral:hammerhead_ribozyme from 1 species
AUCCAGCUGAAGAGUCCAAAAUAGGACGAAACGCGCGUCCUGGAC